ACCAGGUUGAUUCUGCCUGACGUAGACGCUAUACUCUAAGAUUAACCCAUGCAUGUUUAUUGAAUAUAAAGAAAAGACGAACAGCUCAGUAACUCUUAUUUGAUUUGAUGUAUUAGGAUUCUAACUAUGUUAAAUUAUAGGUAACAAUAAUACAAUAAGAAUAAGAUCUAUCAGUUAGUUGUUAAGGUAAUGGCUUAACAAGACUAUGACGGAUAACGGUAUUACUUUGUAAUAUUCCGGAGAAGGAGCCUGAGAGAUUGCUACUAAGUCUAAGGAUUGCAGCAGGGGCGAAACUUGACCUAUGAUAUUAUAUUGAGGCAGUUAUGAGUAGUAUUUUAUAAUUAUUGUAGUAUUGUAAGUACAUAUUACAAGAUAAAUCGGAGGGCAAAUCGAGUGCCAGCAGCCGCGG
rnacentral:rRNA from 1 species